rnacentral:rRNA from 1 species
AAUAGAUACCCUGUAGUCCACGCCGUAAACGAUGAGUGCUAAGUGUUGGAGGGUUUCCGCCCUUCAGUGCUGCAGCUAACGCAUUAAGCACUCCGCCUGGGGAGUACGGUCGCAAGACUGAAACUCAAAGGAAUUGACGGGGGCCCGCACAAGCGGUGGAGCAUGUGGUUUAAUUCGAAGCAACGCGAAGAACCUUACCAGGUCUUGACAUCUCCUGACCGCCCUGGAGACAGGGUCUUCCCUUCGGGGACAGGAUGACAGGUGGUGCAUGGUUGUCGUCAGCUCGUGUCGUGAGAUGUUGGGUUAAGUCCCGCAACGAGCGCAACCCUUGGUUCUAGUUGCCAGCAUUGAGUUGGGCACUCUAGAGCGACUGCCGGCGACAAGUCGGAGGAAGGUGGGGAUGACGUCAAAUCAUCAUGCCCCUUAUGACCUGGGCUACACACGUGCUACGAAUGGAUGGUACAAAGGGCAGCAAAGCGGCGACGCAUGAGCGAAUCCCAGAAAACCAUUCUCAGUUCGGU